GACGAACGCUGGCGGCGUGCUUAACACAUGCAAGUCGAGCGAUGAAGCACCUUCGGGUGUGGAUUAGCGGCGAACGGGUGAGGAACACGUGAGGAAUCUGCCUUUCACUUCGGGAUAACUCCGGGAAACCGGGGCUAAUACCGGAUAUUUUCAACUGGCGGCAUCGCCGGUUGAAGAAAGUUUUUCGGUGAAAGAUGACCUCGCGGCCUAUCAGCUUGUUGGUGAGGUAAUGGCUCACCAAGGCGACGACGGGUAGCCGACCUGAGAGGGCGACCGGCCACACUGGGACUGAGACACGGCCCAGACUCCUACGGGAGGCAGCAGUGGGGAAUAUUGGGCAAUGGAAGAAACUCUGACCCAGCGACGCCGCGUGAGGGAUGAAGGCCUUCGGGUUGUAAACCUCUUUCAGCAGGGAAUAAGCGAAAGUGAAGGUACCUGCAGAAGAAGCACCGGCUAACUAUGUGCCAGCAGCCGCAGUAA
rnacentral:rRNA from 1 species